GUGCCACGCAGCCGCGGUAAUACGGAGGGUGCGAGCGUUAAUCGGAAUUACUGGGCGUAAAGGGUGCGUAGGCGGUUGAAUCAGUCGGAGUGUGAAAGCCCCGGGCUUAACCUGGGAAUUGCAUUCGAUACUGCGUAACUAGAGUCUGGUAGAGGGAAGCGGAACUCCGCAUGUAGCGGUGAAAUGCGUAGAUAUGCGGAGGAACACCAGUGGCGAAGGCGGCUUCCUGGACCAAGACUGACGCUGAGGCGCGAAAGCGUGGGGAGCAAACAGGAUUAGAUACCCUGGUAGUCCACGCCCUAAACGAUGAGGACUAGACGUUGGGGGGAUAAAACCCCUUAGUGUCGCAGCUAACGCGUGAAGUCCUCCGCCUGGGGAGUACGGCCGCAAGGUUGAAACUUAAAUGAAUUGGCGG
rnacentral:rRNA from 1 species